UCCAUCUAAAACCAGGUGCGGUCGCGGCCUCCAGGUGAUAACCUGGGUGGUUUCGCGCCGCAUUCCUGCACCCUUUUUUUACGAGCACCUUUGUUCUCCUUCGGCGGGGCAACCUGCCGCUGGAACUUGAUAAAACCUUUUUUUGCAUCUAGCAUUACCUGUUCUGAUACAAAUAAUCGUUA
rnacentral:misc_RNA from 1 species